CUCUGGGUAGCUCAGCUGGAAGAGUGUCAGACUGUAAUAGUUACUUACUCAUCUUCAGAUAUAUCUCAAUGUCACUGAUUCGAUCUCGGUCCUGGAGA